rnacentral:tRNA from 1 species
UCCUGGUUAGUUCAGUUGGUAGAGCGCUAACCGGAAAUGUAGAGGUCCCUGGUUCGAUACCAGGACCACGCG